rnacentral:rRNA from 1 species
AUUGAACGCUGGCGGCAUGCCUUACACAUGCAAGUCGAGGGGUAGAGGAAGCUUGCUUCCUUGAGACCGGCGCACGGGUGCGUAACGCGUAUGCAAUCUACCUUUUACAGAGGGAUAGCCCAGAGAAAUUUGGAUUAAUACCUCAUAGUAUAUAUCAUUCGCAUGUUUGGUAUAUUAAAGUUCCAACGGUAAAAGAUGAGCAUGCGUCCCAUUAGUUAGUUGGUAAGGUAACGGCUUACCAAGACGAUGAUGGGUGGGGGUCCUGAGAGGGAGAUCCCCCACACUGGUACUGAGACACGGACCAGACUCCUACGGGAGGCAGCAGUGAGGAAUAUUGGUCAAUGGACGCAAGUCUGAACCAGCCAUGCCGCGUGCAGGAAGACGGUCCUAUGGAUUGUAAACUGCUUUUGUACGGGAAGAAACACUCCUACGUGUAGGAGCCUGACGGUACCGUAAGAAUAAGGAUCGGCUAACUCCGUGCCAGCAGCCGCGGUAAGAC